rnacentral:rRNA from 1 species
UACAGAGGUCUCAAGCGUUGUUCGGAUUCAUUGGGCGUAAAGGGUGCGUAGGCGGCGCGGUAAGUCGGGUGUGAAAUUUCGAGGCUUAACUUCGAAACUGCAUUCGAUACUGCCGUGCUUGAGGACUGGAGAGGAGACUGGAAUUUACGGUGUAGCGGUGAAAUGCGCAGAUAUCAGGAGGAACACCGGUGGCGAAGGCGGGUCUCUGGGGCCGAAAAUUGACGCUGAGGAGCGAAAGCGUGGGGGAGCAAACAGG